rnacentral:rRNA from 1 species
UACAGAGGUCUCAAGCGUUGUUCGGAUGCAUUGGGCGUAAAGGGUGCGUAGGCGGCGCGGUAAGUCGGGGGGGAAAUCUCGGAGCUUAACUCCGAAACUGCAUUCGAUACUGCCGUGCUUGAGGACUGGAGAGGAGACUGGAAUUUACGGUGUAGCGGUGAAAUGCGUAGAUAUCGUAAGGAAGACCAGUGGCGAAGGCGGGUCUCUGGACAGUUCCUGACGCUGAGGCACGAAGGUCAGGGGAGCAAACGGG